GUCCAGCUCACUCAGUUGGUAGAGUAUGUGACUCUUGAUCUCAGGGUUGUGCGUUUAAGUCCCACAUUGGGCA
rnacentral:tRNA from 1 species